CAGGCAUGAGCCACAGCGCCUGGCCCUGUCUCUAUGAUUUUGACUACUCUGGGGACCUCAGAAAAAUGGAAUCAUAUAAUAUUUGUUCUUUUAUUUCUAGUUUAUUUCACUUAGCAUAAUGUCUUCAAGUUUCAUCUAUCUUGUGGCGUGUGUCAGAAUUUUCUUUUUAUGGCUGAAUAAUAAAUUAUAUGGAUAUAACACAUUUUGUUUAUUCAUUUAUUGAUGGACAUUUGGGUUGUUUCUACUUUGGGCUAUUACGAAUGAUGCUGCUAUGAAUACGUGUGGUCACAUUAUCUGUUUGAGUCCCUGCUUUCAAUUCUUGGUGACUUUUAUAGCGAGAAUUCUUUGACAAGUUUUCCUUGGUUUUCGGUCUUAGGGAUCACGGUUUUGUAAGCUACAGCAUGCUGAGAGGACUGUAACAGAUGUUUGUGGGGGCACAAGACAUUAUGGGGGUGCAGGAGGGCAGGGGCAGGGACAAACAUGGGAAGGACGGACACUUGGUGCUGACUGAGAAUGCCCCAGGCAGACCAGGUCUGGGAGGUGGGGGUGCAAUCCAUGCAGGUGCGGAGGGUCAAGGGAAGGUGGUGCAUCUGAGGGCAUGAUUUGAGAGUGUGAUUUGGUCUGGCCGAAGUGCAGGGAACCAAGGAGGCUGGCAGUGGGAGAGGACUGGGCAGAGUGGCUCAGAGACUCUGCCUGCUCCUACAGUGUAGGCAGGACCCUGGAGGGGUCGUGCAGGGUGCUGUGGACCAUGCAGAGGAGUCCACGGAGGGAAGAGGAAGUCAUGGAGAUUCUUAGUAGUGGAGGGGAGGGUCUUGCUUCACCCCAGGGGCUGGCUCAACCAUUGGUGCCACCUUGCACCAGGGAUGCCUGGAAUGUCAGGGAAGCCAGGUGGAGCCAAGGCCUCCACCCCACAGCAGGUUUCUCCUUUCUUGGCGUUUCCGGGCCUCUUGGAGGUCCCUUCUGUCUCCUGGUGUCCUGGUCCCUCCAGCCACUCAAGAGGACAUUCCCUAGGCAGCUUGGCCUGUUCAUAUAUUUGACCAUUUCAGGGCUUAGCUCAGUCUCCCUCCCAAGAGAUGUUCCCAAAUAUGGUCCCUUCACGGUGACACAUGUGCACUCACUUGCUCACACACACACACAGGCACUCAUGUACUCCCACAACACACAAACACACACAGAUGCACUUGCAAUCACAGCACACAUGCACGUACACACAUGCAAUUAUACACACAAUCACAACGUACACACACACACGCACAGUCAUACACAAUCACAAUACACAUGCAUACACAUGCCCACAACUCACAGAUACACAUGUGCACACACUGAUUCAUAUACACACACGUACUCAAAGAUACGAUCACAAACACACAUUCACACUCACAGUCCCAACAUUCACAAAUUCCCUGAUCGUCCCCCUCGUUUGCCUGUCCACGCCCUUCUCCCAUCUCUCUCAUUUCCAGACUUCUCUGGGGGCUGGAAUACACAGUGCUGAGACCCUCCUACGCACUGGCCCACAGCCUAGGCUCUUUCAGCAUCUCCUCCCGCUGACUUCUCCCGACAGUCCUGCUGGGUGGAUAUCAUCACCCCAUUGUACAGAUGCAUAAACUGAGCCCAGGUUGCUGAUGGUCUCACCCGAGCUGAACACAGGAUCCAGGGCACUCAAUCUGCACCCUCUUUUGGGCACUUUUCAUGGCCAGCAUGGUGUUUCCUAUGUAUGAAACUCACUUCACCAAGUUGACAUCCUCCCCAGGGCUGGGACCGUCUCUUCUCCCUCCUGUCUUCUACAUGGGAUGGACUCAGGAGCGCUCAACAGAUGCUCUGAAAUCAAUGACUCUGAAUCUAGAAGUCAACCGGAGAAUGUGCUCCUCAGAGGGCCCUGGAAUCUUCCCCUCGUGCACUUGGGUUUCAGUUUGCUGAAUAAGACGGACUCUGCUGCCUGCUCUUCAGAGAAGGUUUUGGUGGAGGACUCCCCUCAGGUGCCCCUGCCUGGAUCCCCCACUGCCCCAGAAGGCUGGCCUUCAGAUGCCUGGAGGCGGCGGCUCAGAGAGGAGUGACUCGCCUGAAGCCCCGUGAACAAUGCAUGGUGGACGGAAGUACAUGGAAUGCCAGAGCCAGGCUGGUGACUAGUGCUGGUGGUGGGGACUGGUCAAGGCGGCCGCCAGGGAAGGGAUGUGAGGACACGGUCUAGACUGAUGGACCAGAUGGCGGGGGCAGGCACAGGGGGAGGGAGGUUUCCAGGACACCCCUCAGUUUCUGGCCCAGGUGACCAGGUGGAAGGUCAUUCCAUCUCCUGAGUGAGGGACACAGCAGGACAGACAGGCUUGGGGAGGGACUGUUGGGAUGUCUGGAGUCUAGGAGAGGAUCCAGGCGGGGGAUGGAGGGGAGGGCGGAAUGAGCUCAUGGGGCAAGUGGAAGGCUUGUGGGCGGUGGAAAAGCUCCAGCCCCCGGACACCUAGCCAAGGUCAAGUAAUAACGACAGUAGACGUUACAUAGCCUUGACUCUGUACAGACCUCAUCCUGCAUCCUUACGUUAACUCAUUGAACCCUCCCAACCAUUAUCAAAUUGGAGGUACCAUUAUCACCCCCAUUUUAUAGUUGGGGAAACUGAGGCAAGAGACAUUAAGUCUGCAAUAUUGGAAUAGGCAAAUCUGUAGAGAAAGGAAUGUGGGUGAGUGGUGGGCUGGGGCUGGGGGCUGGGAAGGAUCAUGGCUAACGGGCACAGGCUUUCUUUUUUGGGUGAUGAAAAUAUUCUAAAAUGACUGUGAAAAUAUUGCACAACUCUGUGAACAUGUGAAAACCCACUGAACUGUAUGCUCUAACUGUAUGAAUUGUAUGGUAUUUGAAUUUCACCUCAAUAAAGCUGUUAUCAAAAAGCAAGAGAGAGAGAAAGAGAAUAUUUGUACUUGGACAUUUUUGCCCCUGGGUGGAGAUUACUCCACCUCAGGAAGCAGUAAACCCCAACCACCAAUUUUUGGAGGCUUGCUGCAUAUGACUUUGGGGAGGAGUUGGGGAAGGAUGGGGUAGGAUAGUGUCUCAACUGCUCUUCCUGGAGGAACGAGGGCCCAGCCAGCAGAUCACCCAGAAGUUUGGUGCCCCAGCCCCUCCUAGAGGAACCCUGGUGUCUGCUUGGGUCCAGGAGCACACAGUGGCUGCCUUCCUCCGGGUCCUCCUGGUCCCUGCAGGUCAUGGGCUGGAGGCCCCGGAGGAUCUCUGUGAUGGUCACACUUGGCUCCUCCCUCCACAACCCAACUGAGGCCGGGAGGCCCAGGGUGCCCUGGUGCCCAGGUGCCCAGGGGCUGUGACUGACCCAUGGCCUGUGCCAGGAUGGGCACUGUGAAGAGGCUCCAGGGACCCCCUGGGUGUGAGCCAGUGGGAGAAUGAAAAGAGGAAGGAAGAAGUCUGCAGGCCUGCCCCACCCACCUGGAGGGGUCAGAGAAGGAGCCGCACUGUCCAGGAGGGUGGGGUGGCCAGCAAAGUGGCCUGGAGAGACGAGGAGGAGAGGGUUUGGGAGAGUGCCUUCCCAUGCCAUGGCACCUUCUCCAGAGCAGGGUCACAAGCAUUCAGGAGGGAAGGAAGUGCAGACAGCUAGUAGACAGUUCUUUGGGGAAGCUGGGCUGGGAAGGGAGAAGGAGUAGAGCAAUAGCUGUUCUUAUUUUCUGGGCUGAGAGGAAGGAAUGGGUAGAGGGGAGAAGAGCUGCUGACCACACAGAAGAGGGCUGGGCCAGUGGGAGAGGGGCUCCUGCAGAGAUGGAGGGUUCUAGAGCUGGGUGGGGGCCCCCCACUCCCAGGCGGGCAGCAGGUGGGGUGAGGACUGAGAGCUGCAAAGCUGGUGGCCGGAGGGGAGGCCAAGGGGCCCUGUCCAAUGGCCUCUCCUCUCUGCAAUAGAGGAGGGGUGUCAGGAGUGUAGGGCUUCAGGGGGUUUACUGUCUCUACUGAAGGUCCCAGAAGAAGGAAGCCUUGGGGACCAGAAAGGGUGGGUGGUGCUGGGUGAGGGCCCACAUGCCACUGCUGGGCUGUGUGGAAGGUCCCGUCUGAAACAGGGUUGUUCUUUCUCUUCUGAGAGCUCCGAGUGCUGGCCAUGUGCCCCUGGCCUGGGGAGCAAGGGGCCUGUCCUCUGUGGGUUUAUUUACAGCUUUUCAGAGGUGCCCCUGCCUGGUCCUGGGCAACUUGUCAUCAGCGCACCUGGUGUGGAUACUGAGGAGAACUGAGAGAGGCUAGGUAGCUCCCGGUGCUUCCCCAGGCCCCCAGCCCCAUCCCUCAGCUGAGGACUGCACCUUCCUCUCCCACCCAGGCUGUACCUGUCACUGCCCUCCACUCCACCAGGCUCAGCACACAGUAGGGCCUUAGUCAGUUUGCCCUUAUGCCUGUAUGCUCUGGGCAGAUUCAAAGCACUUUCCCCUAAUUACCCACAGGGCGCCAUCUCUCCACCACUACCCCUAUGCACACACACUCCCAUUGGGGCUGGGGAGAGUUCCCCCGACCCUGGACCCAAAUCAGGCACUUCGACCUGAGCGAGCCCCUCCUGUGCCUCAUUGACCCACUCGAAGUCCAUUUAUUCUUCCUUUUGACACAGUCCUGAUGCCUUGGGUGCUUCCAUUUCCUAGGCUGGAGGUGAAUUAGAAAGAUGCAUGGGAGGAGAGAGGGCCCAGGAAGAGAGAAGACAGGUGGUAAGUUGGUUUUGUCGAUAACAUUUGCAGCCAAAUUUCAAGGGAGGCCCUAGAGCCACUGUAUAACACAGACGUGACACCUAUGGGGCGCUUGUUGAAGGACACGCGGAUGCUCUGCUGGUUUGGUGGCUGUGAUGACUUCAUGCAAAUGGAAGCUACAUUUGUAUGACACUUUGUUAAAGCAAAUUAGGUAUAAAUAAAGAUUCAUGCCCAAAGAUCUGUAUUGCGAUGUGUCUAAUUGUGAAUAACUGGCCACAACCUUAAUCAACAGUAGAG
rnacentral:lncRNA from 1 species